rnacentral:rRNA from 1 species
CUACGGGUUGCACCAGUCGAGAAUCUUCCGCAAUGCGCGAAAGCGUGACGGAGCAAUGCCGCGUGGUCGAUGAAGGCCUUAGGGUUGUAAAGACCUGUCACAUGGGACGAAUUUUUGACGGUACCAUGAGAGGAAGCCACGGCUAACUACGUUCCAGCAGCCGCGGUAAUACGUAGGUGGCGAGCGUUGUUCGGAUUUAUUGGGCGUAAAGGGUCCGCAGGGGGUUUGCUAAGUCUGAUGUGAAAUCCCAAGGCUCAACCUUGGAACUGCAUUGGAAACUGGUGAACUAGAGUAUCGGAGAGGUAAAUGGAAUUCCUGGUGUAGCGGUGGAAUGCGUAGAUAUCAGGAAGAACACCGAGAGCGAAGGCAAUUUACUGGACGAUCACUGACCCUCAGGGACGAAAGCGUAGGUAGCGAACAGGAUUAGAUACCCCGGUAGUC